GAGGGUAUAGUUUGGUGGUAGAGGGCAUGCUUUGCAUGCACGAAGUCCUGGGUUCAGUCCCCAGUGCCCCCA
rnacentral:tRNA from 1 species